rnacentral:lncRNA from 1 species
UUACAGUGUAAAUAUAAUUACUGUGACAUAGAUUUGCUUUGGUUCACUGAGCUGGCAAUGAGCAAGCUUUACAGCAUUGUAUCUUUUUGUUCUUGCUUAAAUUGCCUUUCUAGUAGGUGGUUGGAGCUAGAACCCAGACCACAGCUGCAGUCCCAAUGUGCUGUUGUAACAGUAUUAGCAUAUAAAGUAGAUAUCAUUGCAGAGUGCAGGGCUGAUUCCUACCGGCCCUAUGCGCUGUGAGUGUAGCGGGAAAGGUCCAUUUCAGUGUGCUUGGCACAGCAGGAACCUGCUGACUUGGCAGUACCUGCAGGAGACUCCGUGCUUUUCAGUGGUGGCUGCUCUACACUCCUGGAUUUUGCCGCCUUGCCAGCAGCACUGGGACCAGAACAAGCAGAGAAGUGUUUUCCAUGGAAAUCUUCUUUCCUAGAUUGAAUGACCCUUAUGCACUGUGUCUUUCCUGGUUGCACAGACAGGUCUGUACCAACAAGUGUUUCUCCUGAAGGAACCUAGAGCAUCUGGACAGGUCUGAGUGGGUCUGGUGUGGAAACGCAGUCCUGGGGAGCUCAGAUACAUGACAGUGCUUAUACAAGUAGUUAACCUAAGAAUAUUGACUACGCCUAUGCAUGUGUUUGCCCUAAUAGCACUGGUCUGAAUCCGAUAUACUUAUUGCCUCCAGAGGAGGCUGGCGGCCAUUUUGUCAGCCCAGAGCUGCUGCUGCAGCUAUGCAGCAGCUUCUUCACUGCUGGUUUCUCUCCAUGUAAACCUUCCUCCCUUACCACAUGUGCCCCCAGGCCCCUGUUUGCCACUCUUUGUCUUUUAGGGGGAAAAAGCCAAGUGUGGGAGGCUGGAUGUUGUUCCCUCUGCUGCCUGAGGGACCCUCUUGUGGCUUCCGGAAGGUUCCACAGAGCUUCCUGUCAGUGCCGUGGGACAGCCAGCGCCUCGCUUAUGACCUGUGGACGAGGGUGCUUCUGUGGCUGUCCAAAAAAAAAGGGAUAAAAAAAUGCUGGAAACAGCACAGCUGGAGAGCACGUAAUACUGCUGAAGAGAUGCAAAGAGAAGAUGCAGUUCUAUUAAGAGAUUUCAUGAGUACGCACAGCUAUGCAGGACAAAAGGACAACUUCUUCAUGAAAAGAAAUACUGUUGCUGGCUCAGACUUGGUGAGAGAAAGAGAUACGGAUACAUUGUAUAUCAGUGGAAGAAGACAUGAGAAGAAGAAAUACAGAGGCCUUCUUAUUCUUCCGAAGGAAGAGAAUAAGGAAUAAGAGGAAGCCGAAGCUUAGUGUGGUGGUGACAGGACCAAAUCCCUAGUUCAUGUUACCUGUUCAUGGAGAGGUCUACAGCUGUUGUGUCUGAUGCGAAGGAUUGUUCCAGCCCCUUCUUGCUGCCAAGAAACAUCGUGCUGAAGGAGGUAGAUGGUCCUCACCAUGGGCUUUUCUGCUGGGAAGCUCAAGAGCUACGAGCAGCUACUGCCUAGGAAGUAGCUUCUUGUAGCUACUGCAUGCCUAGGAAUGAUUAGCGCAGCUCUUGCACGUCCCAGAGGCUUUCUUUGCUGCUGCAUCCUCCCUGGAGAGGCUUUUCACCUUAGCCCUCUGCUAGAAUGUGCCUUAAAGGCAUAAUCGAGCUCGUAAAAAUUAAGUGGUGUGCAAUCGUUAAAAACAAAACAAAACAAGAAGACCCUAACUAAAUUUAGUUCAAUAAAUUCUUAAGAAUCAAUCCA